rnacentral:tRNA from 1 species
GGUGAUUAGCUCAGUUGGUUAGAGCGUUACAUUGACAUUGUAGAGGUCUCUGGUUCGAGCCCAGAUACUG